rnacentral:tmRNA from 1 species
GCUCCUGCUUACGCUAAAGCUGCGUAAGUUCAGUUGAGCCUGAAAUUUAAGUCAUACUAUCUAGCUUAAUUUUCGGUCAUUUUUGAUAGUGUAGCCUUGCGUUUGACAAGCGUUGAGGUGAAAUAAGGUCUUAGCCUUGCUUUUGAGUUUUGGAAGAUGAGCGAAGUAGGGUGAAGUAGUCAUCUUUUCUAAGCAUGUAGAGGUCUUUGUGGGAUUAUUUUUGGACAGGGGUUCGAUUCCCCUCGCUUCCACCA